UGAGUACGAGAUGCUACGGCAUCGAAGCAGUCUAUGUCAUACUUCCAAGAAAAGCUUGCAAUGUCAUAAACAAAUAAUGCCUGUACCAUAACCGACACAGGUGGGUAGGUAGAGUAUACUAAGGGGCGCGAGAUAACUCUCUCUAAGGAACUCGGCAAAAUGACUCCGUAACUUCGGGAGAAGGUGUGCCUUAUUUUUAUAAGGUUGCAAUAACAAGAUCCAAGCAACUGUUUACCAAAAACACAGGUCUCCGCUAAGUCGUAAGACGAUGUAUGGGGGCUGACGCCUGCCCAGUGCCAGAAGGUUAAAGAAGUUGGUUAGCAUUAGCGAAGCUGAUAACUGAAGCCCUGGUGAACGGCGGCCGUAACAAUAACGGUCCUAAGGUAGCGAAAUUCCUUGUCGGGUAAGUUCCGACCCGCACGAAAGGCGUAAUGAUUUGGAUACUGUCUCGGAGAGGGGCUCGGUGAAAUAGACUUGUCUGUGAAGAUGCGGACUACCUGCACCUGGACAGAAAGACCCUAUGAAGCUUUACUGUAACUUGAGAUUGAAAUUGGACUUUAUCUGCGCAGUAUAGGUGGGAGACGUUGAAAAUAUUCUUGCGGGAAUAUUGGAGUCAUCAGUGAGAUACCACUCUUAUAAUGUUAGAUUUCUAACUUUGUAUCAUUAUCUGGUCAAAGAACAGUUUCAGGCGGGCAGUUUGACUGGGGCGGUCGCCUCCCAAACGGUAACGGUGGCGCACAAAGGUUUCCUCUGAACGUGUAGAAAUCGUAUCUAGAGUGUAAAGGCAUAAGGAAGCUUGACUGUGAGACCUACAAGUCGAGCAGGGACGAAAGUCGGUCUUAGUGAUCUGACGGUGCUGAGUGGAAAGGCCGUCACUCAACGGAUAAAAGUUACUCUAGGAUAACAGGCUGAUCUCCCCCAAGAGUUCACAUCGACGGGGAGGUUUGGCACCUUGAUGUCGGCUCAUCGCAUCCUGGGGCGGUAGUACGUCCCAAGGGUUGGGCUGUUCGCCCAUGAAAGCGGUACGCGAGCUGGGUUCAGAACGUCGUGAGACAGUUCGGUCCAUAUCCGGUGUAGGCGUUAGAAUAUUGAGAGGAGCCUUCUUUAGUACGAGAGGACCGAGAAGGACAUACCUCUGGUGUACCAGUUAUCGUGCCAACGGUAAACGCUGGGUAGCCAUGUAUGGAGAGGAUAACCGCUGAAAGCACCUAAGUGGGAAGCCCACCUCAAGAUAAG
rnacentral:rRNA from 1 species